rnacentral:rRNA from 1 species
GACGAACGCUGGCGGCGUGCCUAAUACAUGCAAGUUGAGCGCUGAAGGUUGGUACUUGUACCGACUGGAUGAGCAGCGAACGGGUGAGUAACGCGUGGGGAAUCUGCCUUUGAGCGGGGGACAACAUUUGGAAACGAAUGCUAAUACCGCAUAAAAACUUUAAACACAAGUUUUAAGUUUGAAAGAUGCAAUUGCAUCACUCAAAGAUGAUCCCGCGUUGUAUUAGCUAGUUGGUGAGGUAAAGGCUCACCAAGGCGAUGAUACAUAGCCGACCUGAGAGGGUGAUCGGCCACAUUGGGACUGAGACACGGCCCAAACUCCUACGGGAGGCAGCAGUAGGGAAUCUUCGGCAAGGGACGAAAGUCUGACCGAGAAACGCCGCGGGAGUGAAGAAGGGUGUCGGAUCGUAAAACUCUGUUGGUAGAGAAGAACGUUGGUGAGAGUGGAAAGCUCAUCAAGUGACGGUAACUACCCAGAAAGGGACGGCUAACUACGUG